rnacentral:rRNA from 1 species
GAUGAACGCUAUUGGGAGGCCUAACACAUGCAAGCCGAGCGGUAUUGUUUCUUCGGAAAUGAGAGAGCGGCGUACGGGUGCGGAACACGUGUGCAACCUGCCUUUAUCUGGGGGAUAGCCUUUCGAAAGGAAGAUUAAUACUCCAUAAUAUAUUGAACGGCAUCGUUUAAUAUUGAAAGCUCCGGCGGAUAGAGAUGGGCACGCGCAAGAUUAGCUAGUUGGUGAGGUAACGGCUCACCAAGGCGAUGAUCUUUAGGGGGCCUGAGAGGGUGAUCCCCCACACUGGUACUGAGACACGGACCAGACUCCUACGGGAGGCAGCAGUGAGGAAUAUUGGUCAAUGGGUGCAAGCCUGAACCAGCCAUCCCGCGUGAAGGACGACUGCCCUAUGGGUUGUAAACUUCUUUUGUAUAGGGAUAAACCUACCCUCGUGAGGGUAGCUGAAGGUACUAUACGAAUAAGCACCGGCUAACUCCGUGCCAGCAGCCGCGGUAAUACGGAGGGUGCAAGCGUUAUCCGGAUUUAUUGGGUUUAAAGGGUCCGUAGGCGGACUUAUAAGUCAGUGGUGAAAGCCUGUCGCUUAACGAUAGAACUGCCAUUGAUACUGUAAGUCUUGAGUAUAUUUGAGGUAGCUGGAAUAAGUAGUGUAGCGGUGAAAUGCAUAGAUAUUACUUAGAACACCAAUUGCGAAGGCAGGUUACCAAGAUAUAACUGACGCUGAGGGACGAAAGCGUGGGGAGCGAACAGGAUUAGAUACCCUGGUAGUCCACGCCGUAAACGAUGCUAACUCGUUUUUGGGCUUUAGGGUUCAGAGACCAAGCGAAAGUGAUAAGUUAGCCACCUGGGGAGUACGCUCGCAAGAGUGAAACUCAAAGGAACUGACGGGGGCCCGCACAAGCGGUGGAUUAUGUGGUUUAAUUCGAUGAUACGCGAGGAACCUUACCAAGACUUAAAUGGGAAUUGACAGCUUUAGAAAUAGAGCUUUCUUCGGACAAUUUUCAAGGUGCUGCAUGGUUGUCGUCAGCUCGCGCCGUGAGGUGUUAGGUUAAGUCCUGCAACGAGCGCAACCCCUGUCACUAGUUGCCAUCAUUCAGUUGGGGACUCUAGUGAGACUGCCUACGCAAGUAGAGAGGAAGGUGGGGAUGACGUCAAAUCAUCACGGCCCUUACGUCUUGGGCCACACACGUAAUACAAUGGCCGGUACAGAGGGCAGCUACACAGCGAUGUGAUGCAAAUCUCGAAAGCCGGUCUCAGUUCGGAUUGGAGUCUGCAACUCGACUCUAUGAAGCUGGAAUCGCUAGUAAUCGCGCAUCAGCCAUGGCGCGGUGAAUACGUUCCCGGGCCU